AUUGAACGCUGGCGGCAGGCCUAACACAUGCAAGUCGAGCGAGCGGCGGACGGGUGAGUAAUGUCUGGGAAACUGCCUGUUGGAGGGGGAUAACUCCUGGAAACGGUAGCUAAUACCGCAUACCAUCAGAUGUGCCCAGAUGGGAUUAGCUAGUAGGUGGGGUAACGGCCCACCUAGGCGACGCUCCCUAGCUGGUCUGAGAGGAUGACCAGCCACAGUGGAACGGAGAGACGUUCCAGACGCCGAGGGUAGGCAGCAGUGGGGAAUAUUGCACAAUGGGCGCAAGCCUUAUGCAGCCAUGCCGCGUGUGUGAAGAAGGCCUUCGGGUUGUAAAACACUUUCAGCGGGGAAGCGUUACCCGCAGAAGAAGCACCGGCUAACUCCGUGCCAGCAGCCGCGGUAAUAC
rnacentral:rRNA from 1 species